rnacentral:rRNA from 1 species
UACGGAGGAUGCGAGCGUUAUCCGGAUUUAUUGGGUUUAAAGGGUGCGUAGGCGGGCUUUUAAGUCAGCGGUAAAAAUUCGGGGCUCAACCCCGUCCGGCCGUUGAAACUGGGGGUCUUGAGUGGGCGAGAAGAAGGCGGAAUGCGUGGUGUAGCAGUGAAAUGCAUAGAUAUCACGCAGAACCCCGAUUGCGGAGGCAGCCUUCCGGCGCCCUACUGACGCUGAGGCACGAAAGUGCGGGGAUCGAACAGG